rnacentral:rRNA from 1 species
GGCGUAAAGAGCUCGUAGGCGGUUUGUCGCUCGUCUCUGAAAUCCCGCAGCUCAACUGCGGGUUGCAGGCGAUACGGGCAGACUCGAGUACUGCAGGGGAGACUGGAAUUCCUGGUGUAGCGGUGAAAUGCGCAGAUAUCAGGAGGAACACCGGUGGCGAAGGCGGGUCUCUGGGCAGUAACUGACGCUGAGGAGCGAAAGCGUGGGUAGCGAACAGGAUUAGAUACCCUGGUAGUCCACGCCGUAAACGGUGGGCGCUAGGUGUGGGUUUCCUUCCACGGGAUCCGUGCCGUAGCCAACGCAUUAAGCGCCCCGCCUGGGGAGUACGGCCGCAAGGCUAAAACUCAAAGGAAUUGACGGGGGCCCGCACAAGCGGCGGAGCAUGUGGAUUAAUUCGAUGCAACGCGAAGAACCUUACCUGGGUUUGACAUGUACCGGACGACUGCAGAGAUGUGGUUUCCCUUGUGGCCGGUAGACAGGUGGUGCAUGGCUGAGAGUUGAGUCCCUUGUUUCCUGAGUUGUCC